AGCCAUGUUACAGCCUUUUGGCUAAGAUCAAUUGUAGUAUCUGUUCUUAUCAGUUUAAUAUCUGAUACGUCCUGUAUCCAAAAUAAAAACUGAUUCUCUCAUGUCCCAUCACAACCUAUCAUGUAUCAAAUUACCUUUUGACUUACAGCUAGGUGAAUCAGUGGUUUCUAAUA
ensembl:snRNA U2 U2 spliceosomal RNA